rnacentral:tRNA from 1 species
CGCCCACCGGCGAGCUGGACGGUGCGGCCGGUGCCGUCGGUCAUGACGGACUGCAGCAGGUUCGACGUCUGGUCGGCGACC